CGGGGAUGUCAUUCUACUAAACAAACCAAAAUAUAUCUUCAUAAUCUCAACUUAACAUUUCAGCAUAAGUUAAAGGUACAUUUAACCUUACAUCAAAAGUCUUACAUCAUACGCCUCUAAAAGUUCAGGUUUAUCACAAAAUACAUAUUUAAAACACUUCUCCCGAUUACAUAUACUUCUACUAAAGUUUUAUUGCUAAUCCAACCAGGUCUAGCACUUCAGUUCACCACAUUUUUACCCUUGCCGGAAUAACCUUCUCCGGAAUCCUUUCCUGUAGAGUUAGUACAUGAAAAGAAAAGAUGAGCUCAUAAAGCUCAGCAAGCAUAUAUUGUACGAUUCAACUGAGUUUUAUUCACAAAACUUUAAUAGAUCAAAUCAAUAAUUCAACAGAGUCAUCAAAACAGUUUCACACAUUGAUAUGAGUAUGAGUAUUCAAACAUGUUCACAAGUUCACACGUUCUACUGUUGGGGAUCCCGGCCAGCUAAACAAUUGGUUUAGCUUUCCUUCCCGAAGGAGUAUCACACUACUUCACAAAGGAAGCAUCGCUCUAGUUCCAACAAAGAGACCCUUUCUCUAAUUUGAGGUUUCAGUCCCUCCUGAAAUCUCUGACAUUUCCUAGCUUCAGUAUUAACCUGAUGAGGGGAAAACCUAGAAAGCUCCAAAAACUUCGACAAAUAUUCUGACACAGACAUUCCUUCUUGCUUCAAUCCUAAAAACUUCAUCUCCAUCUCAUUUUUCAUACACGCAGGAAAAUAUUUAUCAAAGAACAACUCCUUAAACCUCAUCCAAGUCAUUGUUGAACAAUCUUCCGUCUGUUUAACAGUGUCCCACCAAAAUACAGCUUCCCCCCUUAAAGAGUGUGUUGCGAAUUUCACCUUUUGUUCAUCCAAGCAUUCAGAAAUUUCUAUCACUUUCUCCAUUUCCUUUAUCCAUGUAUUCGCAACAUGUGGAUCUAAAUCUCCUUUAAAUACCGGGGGAUCAGCAUCCUUAAAGGUCUUAUAAGUACACCUUCGUUUAUUCUCACCUUCUCGCUCCGGAUUAUUUAUACGAUCUUGUUCUUCCAAACGAUCAGUAUUCACCUUAAUUGUAUUUGUAUUUUCUUGCUCUCCCCUAAUAGUCUUCAACAUAUUCCUCAUUUCCUCCAAAACCAACAUCAUCUCAGGACUAAUUUGAAUGCUAGGUCCAGCGCCACUACUAUUUUCUUCAUUCAUCGUCACCUAAAAAUCAUAUAAUAUAUAUUAGAAUUCUAUUCUAAUCCACAAAUCAUACUAGAACUAUAGUUGUACUACACACAUAGUUCAUGCCACAAAUUCACAACUAAGGUCCACAUAUCCCUUAAACCUAUUCUUCAAACUUAAUAUCACACUAGUCUAGAAUCUUAAUCCUACUUUCGCCGAUACUCGAACCUAUAGCUCUGAUACCACCUGUGACGCCCCUGGCCCGGGAUGACCUCGGCAACCCGACCCGGGGAUGUCAUUCUACUAAACAAACCAAAAUAUAUCUUCAUAAUCUCAACUUAACAUUUCAGCAUAAGUUAAAGGUACAUUUAACCUUACAUCAAAAGUCUUACAUCAUACGCCUCUAAAAGUUCAGGUUUAUCACAAAAUACAUAUUUAAAACACUUCUCCCGAUUACAUAUACUACUACUAAAGUUUUAUUGCUAAUCCAACCAGGUCUAGCACUUCAGUUCACCACAUUUUUACCCUUGCUGGAAUAACCUUCUCCGGAAUCCUUUCCUGUAGAGUUAGUACAUGAAAAGAAAAGAUGAGCUCAUAAAGCUCAGCAAGCAUAUAUUGUACGAAUCAACUGAGUUUUAUUCACAAAGCUUUAAUUGAUAAAAUCAAUAAUUCCACAGAGUCAUCAAAACAGUUUCACAC
rnacentral:lncRNA from 1 species